CAGCAGCCGCGGAAUACGUAGGUGGCAAGCGUUGUCCGGGAUUAUUGGGCGUAAAGGGCUCGCAGGCGGUUUCUUAAGUCUGAUGUGAAAGCCCCCGGCUCAACCGGGGAGGGUCAUUGGAAACUGGGAAACUUGAGUGCAGAAGAGGAGAGUGGAAUUCCACGUGUAGCGGUGAAAUGCGUAGAGAUGUGGAGGAACACCAGUGGCGAAGGCGACUCUCUGGUCUGUAACUGACGCUGAGGAGCGAAAGCGUGGGGAGCGAACAGGAUUAGAUACCCCCGUAGUCCCUGUCUCUUAUACC
rnacentral:rRNA from 1 species